UGGAACUGCAGUAAUGCCCCUUGAAGUGAGAUUCAACUAGCAAUAAGAAUAUCAGAGGCAUUCAGUCUUGCCUCUGACUUGUCUUUUCAAAAAUUUACGACCACUGAGCUUGGGUGGUCUAUGUCAGCCCCAAAUUUCCCAUACCACGGUGCCCUUGCACUUAGAGAAAGGCCGUGUCGUUAUUGCGCGGCCGAGAAAAAGUAACCGAUACCGUCACCUUCCCUUUGCUCUGUGACAGAUGUGACACAUCUCUCACCGGAGCUGUGGCUAAAGUGUGUCCAGGGUGAGUAGAGACCGAGGGGCUGACCAAGUUGUGCAGGCGAAAACCACGUGCCCCCAGAGUACUCUCUCAGAAUCUUUUAGGGAAUCCUUGACAUUUAAUUUUGGUCCACGUUAUUUAUGAUCUUGUCUUCUCGUGGCUCUCAAUCCUAGCUGCCCUUCAGGAUCACCUAGGGAGCUUUUAAAAAUCGCUGAUGUUCAGGCUGUGAAUAAUUAAAUCAGAACCUCUGGGGAGUGGAUCCAGGUCGUCUGUAUUUUUUUUUUUUUUUUUUUUUUUUUAAGAUUCUCAGGUAAGUACAAGGAUCAGCCCAGGUUUAAAAACACUGCCCUAGUCUUUACUUUCCUAGCUUGAAAGAUAUGACCUGAUACAAAAUAGGUACUCAGCAGUGUUUGAUGAAUGAACAAAUUAAUAACAAGGAAUGGGAAGGGCAGAAAACAGAUGUAUAUUCCUUUAUAACAAGUAUGAUAAAGUAUUGCCAUUAGUGGAUUAAUAAAUAACUAAGAGUAGACCAUACCAUAAAGGCAGUUAGAAAACUAGGGGUGGAAAGCUCCAAGACAGGCUUAAGGAGCUGGCUCAGGUGGCUAGUGCUUAUGGGAAAAGGUUCCGAAGCAGCCUGUGUCUAGUAAAAGAAUCGAUUCUUGCUUGGGUGGGGGGGGGGGGGGGGGGGGGGAGGGGGGGGGACAGGACAGGAAAGAGUUGGGAGAGGGGAAGAAUUUGAAAUCUCCCAACUGAUUAGGAAGAGAGGAUGGCAGGGUUCCCUGUGUUUCAGCGAGUUAAUGUGCCUGCAGAGCCUUGUUGAGCCCAUAGGGCAUGUGGAACUUGGGGCACCCGGGAAUGGUUGAAGCAGGGCAUCAGGGUGCCACGUGUUGAGCGGGGACGGGACACAAACCCAUCUAAGAGACUCAGGAGCAAGAUACCCAUGCAGGGAGUCUCGGCACAUCCGGUCGGCCACCCAAACUAGCAGGUGAACUCACUGAGAUUCAGAAGUAGUAUAUUUCUCAGACCCUUUCUGGAAAGUUUCCCCACAUACCUGGAAGUGGACUGGCUUCUCAAGUGAGUGUAAACAGUAGGGCAACUGAAAGAAAAAUUAAGGACAGAAUUCAAGUUCAAUGGGAUUGCAAAUAGUUAAAACUCAUGCAGUAAGUGUGGCACCAGACAGAGCCCUUCUGGGACAAGCGGAUUGCUAAAAGGGAGCUAAGUGGUUAAGACAUGCGCGGAAUGAAAAUAGGUCUCGGGUAGGACUAAGCUGGCCCUCAGGAAUUGUAUCUCCAGGCUUGAAGCUGACCAAUUUUUCAUAAACAGCUAAGAUUGUUUCCUUUCUCAUGUUUAGAUUCAAAAGAGGAUUAAUAGCUUAGAGUUUCUGUCAAUGCUUGAAGCAAAACAGUGUACCUUAUUAGUCACUUCAGAAUGACCUGCUUCAUAAUUCAGUGGCAUCAGUUCUCUCCCCAGCUCACAUUUCAAAUAUAAGUGGCUCAUUUAACACAAUGGAAUAGUUAGAUAAAUGUGGAAGCUCUUAGGUAAAAGUGGAAGGAAAAAAAAAUGUUUUUCUAUCCUGGGUUGGGGGACAGGGCUUUGAUGAGGUCUUGGACCCUCACAAAUAUUCCCUGAUUUGACAUUAAGAAGCCUUGCCCAGUCUCAUAAUUCUGUAAUUCCCAGUCGACUGUUACAAUGCAUACUGUGAAUGCUCAGAUGAUCUGAAGUUUCUCCUUCCUCCAACUUGAACCCAAGUGAGGCUUUGGAGAUGAGAAAGAUGGGUGGGAGCACAGGUGGCCCUCUCACUACUUCCUUACUUGCUAGUUGUCUUUUAAUUGCUCUGAGGUUGGGGGUGAAGGGUUAGAGGGGGGCACAGUUGUCAUCUGGCGCUGGUGACCUUGCAGACGCAUUACAUGUUUGAAGGUCUCCUGUGGGAUGUCUGUUUGCAAGUCUUUGGAGGUCCUUUCUCUGGAGACGUGAAGUUCUUUCCAAAUGGGAAAUGCCUGUCACCUGUCAUCUGGCAGUUGCCUGCAGCUUCUAGCUCAGUCUCUGCACUUUGGUGCUCCACCCCUCUCUUGGGUCAUACGUGGCUCCAGGCAUUCCCCAUGGGUGACCUUUUUCUAGAUUAUCUCAACCCAACUCCCCCAAAGGUUCAUACUUCUUUUCUGACAAACUCAAGCCUUUGCCUUGCUUAAGUGAGGGGACACCUGGCUCAUUCUCCUAUAGGAGGCUUACACACAUGUCCUCUGACCUUUAGACUUUUAAGCAUAUCUUGGAAUUUGGUCCUCAUGUUCCCUACAUUCCCAGACACACAGAAACAACUCUCCACAAGUCUCCUUAAAAACCUUUCCACUUGGGCUUAAGGUAAGGGGCACCCAUUCCUUUUCCCAUGUUGGCAGGAUCUAAGGAACGUAACAACUAACUCCAGAUAUGUCCUCUGGACUUUUCCAUCUUAAUCUCUUAAAAACUUGCAAGUGAGGUCGAGCAUCUCACUUUAGAAGAGAGAGGUUGUUGGCACUUGUGGAAGUUUUAAAAUAUAUUUAUAAUUUGUAUUAACAUCUUGCUUUGAAAAGCGGAACUUAAUUUCCUUACCCUUGUGUGCGGCUGGGCUUAGGGGCUUAUUUCUAGAAAAUAGAAUAGAAACAAAGUGAUGAGAUUUCCAAGAUAAGGUCAUAAAAAGGCAUUGUAGCUUCCUUCUUGCUUCUUUUCUUUUUUGGAUCACUUGCUGUGGGAGAAAACAGCUGCCAUAUUGUGAGGACACUCACACAACCCCUGGAGAGGUCCAUGUGACAAGAAACUAAGCCUCCUGCCAACAGCCUUCUGGUCUUCCACAGGUCAGGUGAACCUCCAUGGCUAUUGUCCUUCCACAUGUGACUCAGAGACCCAAGUUGCCAGGGUCUUAUGGCUCUGACAUUCAACACAUGGCCCCCACACUUGCUGCCAACAGGGAAGCAAAGGAUGUGAAAGCACAAAAGGACUGUUUUCUGCUCCAGCAUGGAAGUGACACACGCGUCAUGUGGACUCACAUCCAUUCGCCACAAACAGACACAGAGCCUUCUUUACCUGCCUGGAAGCUGGGAAGUCUGGGCAGGAGAGGAGAAUUAGAUAUGGGGGGGAAGGGGGCAUUCAUGAGGUCCAUCACACAUACUUUAAUAAAAAGAAUUUUUAGAUAGAUCUAACAUAAAGUAUAUGUUGCAAUCAUGGUAGGAAAAAUAUUGGUUACUCUUUUAUGAUAAACUAAUGCUGGAUGAAACCUAUUUAAGCAAGAUAGAGAAUUCAGCUGCCAUGACAACAAGAAAAGACAAAUUUAAUUACAAAAUAUGUUUAAAUGUUUGUAUAUGAAGGAACACCAUAAACAAAGUCAGAUAUAUACAAAGUGAGAUGUAAGUAAUGUAAGCCUGGCUGAAAGUCGAUUACGUACCUCCCCCAAUCUUCCUUAGAACACCCUUCUCACACCUCUCCUCCACCUCCGCUCCUCAGUGAGGACACUAAACCUUCAUGACGUUAUUACCUUUACGAAGAAGGGAUUUUGUUUGCCCUCAAGUUGUUUCUUACUGUGUUUGUAAAUUCGAUUUUAUUGUCAAUGAACCUUUUUUGAUAUCGUAGAUUGGAUUGAAAGAAAUCAUAAUUUUCCCAUUAAAAUUGAUAUAAAUAUUUCCUUUCAA